GGGAGCCCUAGCACAGGUGCUGCAUGGCCGUCGUCAGCUCGUGCCGUGAGGUGUUGGGUUAAGUCCCCGCAACGAGCGCAACCCCCGCCGUUAGUUGCCAGCGGUUCGGCCGGGCACUCUAACGGGACCGCCCGCGAAAGCGGGAGGAAGGAGGGGACGACGUCUGGUCAGCAUGGCCCUUACGGCCUGGGCGACACACGUGCUACAAUGCCCACUACAAAGCGAUGCCACCCGGCAACGGGAGCUAAUCGCAAAAAGGUGGGCCCAGUUCGGAUUGGGGUCUGCAACCCGACCCCAUGAAGCCGGAAUCGCUAGUAAUCGCGGAUCAGCCAUGCCGCGGUGAAUACGUUCCCGGGCCUU
rnacentral:rRNA from 1 species